CGCCGGGUCCCGCGCGACGCAAUCCCGCCAAUCCCGCCAGGUCCGGAAGGAAGCAACGGUAACGGGCUAGUGCGUGUGCAGCGGGGUACCCGGUAAAA
rnacentral:SRP_RNA from 1 species